AAUCAACGCUGGCGGCGUGCCUAACACAUGCAAGUCGAACGAGAAAGCGGGGGCAACUCCGUGAGUAAAGUGGCGGCCGGGUGAGUAACACGUGACCAAUCUACCCUCGAGUGGGGGAUAACUCCGGGAAACCGGAGCUAAUACCGCAUAACAUCUUUGGAACCCAGGUUCUGAAGAUCAAGGGAGCAAUUCGCUUGAGGAGGAGGUCGCGGCUGAUUAGCUAGUUGGCGGGGUAAUGGCCCACCAAGGCGAAGAUCGGUAGCCGGCCUGAGAGGGCGCACGGCCACACUGGAACUGAAACACGGUCCAGACUCCUACGGGAGGCAGCAGUGGGGAAUUUUGCGCAAUGGGGGAAACCCUGACGCAGCAACGCCGCGUGGAGGAUGAAGUCCCUUGGGACGUAAACUCCUUUCGGCCGGGAAGAUGAUGACGGUACCGGAUGAAGAAGCACCGGCUAACUCUGUGCCAGCAGCCGCAGUAACAC
rnacentral:rRNA from 1 species